GUGGGGAAUCUUGCGCAAUGGGCGAAAGCCUGACGCAGCCAUGCCGCGUGAAUGAUGAAGGUCUUAGGAUUGUAAAAUUCUUUCACCGGGGACGAUAAUGACGGUACCCGGAGAAGAAGCUCCGGCUAACUUCGUGCCAGCAGCCGCGGUAAUACGAAGGGGGCUAGCGUUGCUCGGAAUUACUGGGCGUAAAGGGCGCGUAGGCGGACAGCUUAGUCAGAGGUGAAAGCCCAGGGCUCAACCUUGGAAUUGCCUUUGAUACUGGCUGUCUUGAGUUUGGGAGAGGUGAGUGGAACUACGAGUGUAGAGGUGAAAUUCGUAGAUAGUCGGAAGAACACCAGUGGCGAAGGCGACUCACUGGCCCGUUACUGACGCUGAGGCGCGAAAGCGUGGGGAGCAAACAGGAUUAGAUACCCCAGUAGUCC
rnacentral:rRNA from 1 species